UAUAUAAGAAGUAUAUAAAUGAUAUAAACAUUAUUAACAUUUAAUAAUAGCUACUAAUCAAUCAUUUUUACACGUACGUAACAUGAUGUGUCACCGUUUACUAUUUAUAUAAAACUCCCGUUCGUGAAUGUUCCUCCUUUCCCCCAAACUUUCCAAAAAAAUCGCCCCUCAUCCGCGUGCAGAACAAUUCUCCUCGCCCCCUCCAUGUCGCCCACUCCGAAUUUUUUUAUUAUUAGUCGGCUGAGGCGAGCCGUUUGCGUCUUCAAUACGGAAUUUCAAAGCAAUAAAAAGUAAAAAAUGAGACUACCUAGGAGUACGCGAGCACGUGUGUGUGAAUGUUUUAUUUAGAAGGCGGG